rnacentral:rRNA from 1 species
AUGAACGCUGGCGGCGUGCCUAAUACAUGCAAGUCGCGCGAACAGACGAGGAGCUUGCUCCUCUGACGUUAGCGGCGGACGGGUGAGUAACACGUGGAUAACCUACCUAUAAGACUGGGAUAACUUCGGGAAACCGGAGCUAAUACCGGAUAAUAUAUUUAACCGCAUGGUUCAAUAGUGAAAGACGGUUUUGCUGUCACUUAUAGAUGGAUCCGCGCCGCAUUAGCUAGUUGGUAAGGUAACGGCUUACCAAGGCAACGAUGCGUAGCCGACCUGAGAGGGUGAUCGGCCACACUGGAACUGAGACACGGUCCAGACUCCUACGGGAGGAAGCAGUAGGGAAUCUUCCGCAAUGGGCGAAAGCUUGACGGAGCAAAGCCGCGUGAGUGAUGAAGGUCUUCGGAUCGUAAAACUCUGUUAUUAGGGAAGAACAAAUGUGUAAGUAACUAUGAACGUAUUGACGGUACCUAAUCAGAAAGCCACGGCUAACUACGUG